GACGAACGCUGGCGGCGUGCUUAACACAUGCAAGUCGAACGGAAAGGCCCUGCUUUUGUGGGGUGCUCGAGUGGCGAACGGGUGAGUAACACGUGAGUAACCUGCCCUUGACUUUGGGAUAACUUCAGGAAACUGGGGCUAAUACCGGAUAGGAGCUCCUGCUGCAUGGUGGGGGUUGGAAAGUUUCGGCGGUUGGGGAUGGACUCGCGGCUUAUCAGCUUGUUGGUGGGGUAGUGGCUUACCAAGGCUUUGACGGGUAGCCGGCCUGAGAGGGUGACCGGCCACAUUGGGACUGAGAUACGGCCCAGACUCCUACGGGAGGCAGCAGUGGGGAAUAUUGCACAAUGGGCGGAAGCCUGAUGCAGCAACGCCGCGUGCGGGAUGACGGCCUUCGGGUUGUAAACCGCUUUCGCCUGUGACGAAGCGUGAGUGACGGUAAUGGGUAAAGAAGCACCGGCUAACUACGUGCCAGCAGCCGCGGUGAUACGUAGGGUGCGAGCGUUGUCCGGAUUUAUUGGGCGUAAAGGGCUCGUAGGUGGUUGAUCGCGUCGGAAGUGUAAUCUUGGGGGCUUAACCCCUGAGCGUGCUUUCGAUACGGGGUUGACUUGAGGAAAAGUAAGGGGAAAAUGGAAAUUCCUGGGU
rnacentral:rRNA from 1 species